UACGAAGGUGGCAAGCGUUGUUCGGAAUUAAUGGGCGAAAAGCGAGUGUAGGCGGCUCUUCAAGUCAGGCGUGAAAGCCCUGAGCUCAACUCAGGAACUGCGCUUGAUACUGUCGAGCUAGAGUGUGGAAGGGGCAAUCGGAAUUCCGUGUGUAGCGGUGAAAUGCGUAGAUAUACGGAGGAACACCAGAGGCGAAGGCGGAUUGCUGGGCCAACACUGACGCUGAGACGCGAAAGCCAGGGUAGCAAACGGG
rnacentral:rRNA from 1 species